rnacentral:rRNA from 1 species
UACGUAGGGUGCGAGCGUUGCCCGGAUUUAUUGGGCGUAAAGGGCGCGUAGGCGGCCACGCACGUCCGUUGUGAAAUCGCCCCGGCUCAACUGGGGCGGGGUCAGCGGAUACGGUGUGGCUCGAGCAAGCUAGGGGGCAAUGGAAUUCCCGGUGUAGUGGUGGAAUGCGUAGAUAUCGGGAGAACACCAGUGGCGAAGGCGGUUGCCUGGACGCUUUGCUGACGCUGAGGCGCGAAAGCGUGGGGAGCGAGCCGG